AGAAAAAUAAGCUAAAAAAGCUAUUAGGUUCAUACCCUAAAUAUAGAAUUAAACUCUUUUUUCUA
rnacentral:tRNA from 1 species